AAGGUUCGUCCGCCCUGGGUUAGUCGGGACCUAAGCUGAGGCCGAAAGGCGUAGGUGAUGGACAACAGGUUGAUAUUCCUGUACUACCGAUAACCGUUUGAGAGAUGGGAUGACACAGUAGGAUAAGUUAAGCACACUGUUGGUUAUGUGUGCCCAAGCAUUGAGGCAGUCAGAGUAGGUAAAUCCGCUUUGAUAAUGCUGGGAUGUGAUGGGGAGCGAAAUUUAGUAGCGAAGUAGCUGAUUUCACACUGUCAA
rnacentral:rRNA from 1 species